AAGAAGGAGUUGAACACAUUGAAAAAGAGUUAUUUUUGUGUAGAUGUGUACAAAUGAGCAAAGGAAAAAAUGAACUUGCAACCUGUGAAUUGUAUUCUUUGGCUAAAGGUCCUUUGGAUGGUGUUCAAAGUUUCAAAGGGUAUGAAAUAAAUGGGUUUAGAUUUCAUACUAAACUACUUGAGUAAACGAGAAGACCCAAAAUAAUGGUGUUUUAGUAAAAGGAGAAGCGAAUGAACAUGUUUUUUUAUGUCAAGGACCAUCUUCAUCCCAGUUGGUCAAUUGUAUAGAAUGGUCAUUCUACCUAUCUUAUUGGAGGUGUUAUUGAUGAAGAUACUUUUCGACAAGAUGCUUGUAAUGAGUUAUUACAUAUAUGUGAGGAUGAUGAAGACAUUAUGAAUUGGAAAAGAUAUGAUCUUGAUGUUAUCCGUACUGAUGUUACCUUGGUUGAUGAUAUUAUUGAAGUUAGAGAAUCAUAACCAGAAACUGAUGAUAAAGAUGUUUUAUUAUAGAUAUUUCUCUUAUUUUC